UAUUUUCUCAGGUUUAGGUGGUUGCCGGGGGUUUUGGGUGGGCUGUGAGCUGGUGCUGUCUCCACUACCUGACAGACAGCACCAGCUGUCAUGACAAGAUUCAGCCUUCCUGGAACAAAACAGCACAGAACUAAUUCAGCUGCCACUGCUAUAAAAGCUUUUUAAAAUCUGGAUUACUGUACUACUACUUCAUACACUGCCUGAAACAAAACAGUGCUUUGGCAUUUAAUUUUCACAGACUGAAAUGUUGUAUAUUAUAACUCUGUUCUUUACCGUACAUGCUGAGGUGUUGCUUAAAUUCUGAAUUGUUAGAGUUUUGAUGUUUAACUCCUUUGUGUUUUUAUUUAUUCAUUUUCUCCUCCUUUUCUUGAACAGAGCUGGUGACUCUGUUCAAUCCUGGACUAGUGACUCCCAUCUCAGAAGACAAACGCAUCCCUCAGUUUCUUCAACAUGGCACACUGGUGGACCAAGCAAAUAAAUUGUCCCUUUACUUACAGAGCAACAAGCAGGGCGCUGAUGAGAAUCAAGACUGGAAGUUGGUGCUUCUCUUUGUUCAGCUGGAUCGACUGUGUGCCUGUGAGCAGCAGGAGCAGAUCUCGUCUCUUCUCAAACAGCUGGUUGAGGAGGUAGAUAUUGCUGUGCAGUUGCUCCACUCUCAGGUAUGUUGCAAAUUAAAUAGUGUCAUUGCUCUUUGCAGUAAUUUAAG